rnacentral:rRNA from 1 species
UUCGGGCCUUGCGCUAUCAGAUGAGCCUAGGUCGGAUUAGCUAGUUGGUGAGGUAAUGGCUCACCAAGGCGACGAUCCGUAACUGGUCUGAGAGGAUGAUCAGUCACACUGGAACUGAGACACGGUCCAGACUCCUACGGGAGGCAGCAGUGGGGAAUAUUGGACAAUGGGCGAAAGCCUGAUCCAGCCAUGCCGCGUGUGUGAAGAAGGUCUUCGGAUUGUAAAGCACUUUAAGUUGGGAGGAAGGGUUGUAGAUUAAUACUCUGCAAUUUUGACGUUACCGACAGAAUAAGCACCGGCUAACUCUGUGCCAGCAGCCGCGGUAAUACAGAGGGUGCAAGCGUUAAUCGGAAUUACUGGGCGUAAAGCGCGCGUAGGUGGUUCGUUAAGUUGGAUGUGAAAGCCCCGGGCUCAACCUGGGAACUGCAUUCAAAACUGACGAG